UACGUAGGGUGCAAGCGUUAAUCGGAAUUACUGGGCGUAAAGCGUGCGCAGGCGGUUGUGCAAGACAGAUGUGAAAUCCCCGGGCUCAACCUGGGAACUGCAUUUGUGACUGCACGGCUAGAGUGUGUCAGAGGGGGGUAGAAUUCCACGUGUAGCAGUGAAAUGCGUAGAUAUCUGGAGGAACACCGGUGGCGAAGGCGGCAUCCUGGACCGGUAUUGACGCUGAGGCGCGAAAGCCAGGGGAGCAAACGGG
rnacentral:rRNA from 1 species